GACGAACGCUGGCGGCGUGCUUAACACAUGCAAGUCGAACGGAAAGGCCCUGCUUUUGUGGGGUGCUCGAGUGGCGAACGGGUGAGUAACACGUGAGUAACCUGCCCUUGACUUUGGGAUAACUUCAGGAAACUGGGGCUAAUACCGGAUAGGAGCUCCUGCUGCAUGGUGGGGGUUGGAAAGUUUCGGCGGUUGGGGAUGGACUCGCGGCUUAUCAGCUUGUUGGUGGGGUAGUGGCUUACCAAGGCUUUGACGGGUAGCCGGCCUGAGAGGGUGACCGGCCACAUUGGGACUGAGAUACGGCCCAGACUCCUACGGGAGGCAGCAGUGGGGAAUAUUGCACAAUGGGCGGAAGCCUGAUGCAGCAACGCCGCGUGCGGGAUGACGGCCUUCGGGUUGUAAACCGCUUUCGCCGGUGACGAAGCGUGAGUGACGGUAAUAGGUAAAGAAGCACCGGCUAACUACGUG
rnacentral:rRNA from 1 species